rnacentral:rRNA from 1 species
CCGGCGAUGUCCGAAUGGGGAAACCCAGUGCAAUUCGUUGCACUAUCGUUAACUGAAUACAUAGGUUAACGAGGCGAACCGGGGGAACUGAAACAUCUAAGUACCCCGAGGAAAAGAAAUCAACCGAGAUUCCCCCAGUAGCGGCGAGCGAACGGGGAGCAGCCCAGAGUCUGAAUCAGCUUGUGUGUUAGUGGAACGGUCUGGAAAGUCCGACGGUACAGGGUGAUAGUCCCGUACACCAAAAUGCACAGGUUGUGAACUCGAAGAGUAGGGCGGGACACGUGGUAUCCUGUCUGAAUAUGGGGGGACCAUCCUCCAAGGCUAAAUACUCCUGACUGACCGAUAGUGAACCAGUACCGUGAGGGAAAGGCGAAAAGAACCCCGGCGAGGGGAGUGAAAAAGAACCUGAAACCGUGUACGUACAAGCAGUGGGAGCACCUUCGGGUGUGACUGCGUACCUUUUGUAUAAUGGGUCAGCGACUUAUAUUCUGUAGCAAGGUUAACCGUAUAGGGGAGCCGCAGGGAAACCGAGUCUUAACUGGGCGUUAAGUUGCAGGGUAUAGACCCGAAACCCGGUGAUCUAGCCAUGGGCAGGUUGAAGGUUGGGUAACACUAACUGGAGGACCGAACCGACUAAUGUUGAAAAAUUAGCGGAUGACUUGUGGCUGGGGGUGAAAGGCCAAUCAAACCGGGAGAUAGCUGGUUCUCCCCGAAAGCUAUUUAGGUAGCGCCUCGUGAAUUCAUCUUCGGGGGUAGAGCACUGUUUCGGCUAGGGGGUCAUCCCGACUUACCAACCCGAUGCAAACUACGAAUACCGAAGAAUGUUAUCACGGGAGACACACGGCGGGUGCUAACGUCCGUCGUGAAGAGGGAAACAACCCAGACCGCCAGCUAAGGUCCCAAAGUCAUGGUUAAGUGGGAAACGAUGUGGGAAGGCACAGACAGCCAGGAUGUUGGCUUAGAAGCAGCCAUCAUUUAAAGAAAGCGUAAUAGCUCACUGGUCGAGUCGGCCUGCGCGGAAGAUGUAACGGGGCUAAACCAUGCACCGAAGCUGCGGCAGCGACACUAUGUGUUGUUGGGUAGGGGAGCGUUCUGUAAGCCUGCGAAGGUGACCUGUGAGGGUUGCUGGAGGUAUCAGAAGUGCGAAUGCUGACAUAAGUAACGAUAAAGCGGGUGAAAAGCCCGCUCGCCGGAAGACCAAGGGUUCCUGUCCAACGUUAAUCGGGGCAGGGUGAGUCGACCCCUAAGGCGAGGCCGAAAGGCGUAGUCGAUGGGAAACAGGUUAAUAUUCCUGUACUUGGUGUUACUGCGAAGGGGGGACGGAGAAGGCUAUGUUAGCCGGGCGACGGUUGUCCCGGUUUAAGCAUGUAGGCUGGUUGUCCAGGCAAAUCCGGAUAAUCAAGGCUGAGGUGUGAUGACGAGGCACUACGGUGCUGAAGUAACAAAUGCCCUGCUUCCAGGAAAAGCCUCUAAGCAUCAGGUAACAUUAAAUCGUACCCCAAACCGACACAGGUGGUCAGGUAGAGAAUACCAAGGCGCUUGAGAGAACUCGGGUGAAGGAACUAGGCAAAAUGGUGCCGUAACUUCGGGAGAAGGCACGCUGGUGUGUAGGUGAAGUCCCUGCGGAUGGAGCUGAGACCAGUCGAAGAUACCAGCUGGCUGCAACUGUUUAUUAAAAACACAGCACUGUGCAAACACGAAAGUGGACGUAUACGGUGUGACGCCUGCCCGGUGCCGGAAGGUUAAUUGAUGGGGUUAUCCGUAAGGAGAAGCUCUUGAUCGAAGCCCCGGUAAACGGCGGCCGUAACUAUAACGGUCCUAAGGUAGCGAAAUUCCUUGUCGGGUAAGUUCCGACCUGCACGAAUGGCGUAAUGAUGGCCAGGCUGUCUCCACCCGAGACUCAGUGAAAUUGAACUCGCUGUGAAGAUGCAGUGUACCCGCGGCAAGACGGAAAGACCCCGUGAACCUUUACUAUAGCUUGACACUGAACAUUGAGCCUUGAUGUGUAGGAUAGGUGGGAGGCUUUGAAGCGUGGACGCCAGUCUGCGUGGAGCCAACCUUGAAAUACCACCCUUUAAUGUUUGAUGUUCUAACGUUGGCCCCUUACCGGGGUUGCGGACAGUGUCUGGUGGGUAGUUUGACUGGGGCGGUCUCCUCCCAAAGCGUAACGGAGGAGCACGAAGGUUAGCUAAUCCUGGUCGGACAUCAGGAGGUUAGUGCAAUGGCAUAAGCUAGCUUGACUGCGAGCGUGACGGCGCGAGCAGGUGCGAAAGCAGGUCAUAGUGAUCCGGUGGUUCUGAAUGGAAGGGCCAUCGCUCAACGGAUAAAAGGUACUCCGGGGAUAACAGGCUGAUACCGCCCAAGAGUUCAUAUCGACGGCGGUGUUUGGCACCUCGAUGUCGGCUCAUCACAUCCUGGGGCUGAAGUAGGUCCCAAGGGUAUGGCUGUUCGCCAUUUAAAGUGGUACGCGAGCUGGGUUUAGAACGUCGUGAGACAGUUCGGUCCCUAUCUGCCGUGGGCGCUGGAGAAUUGAGGGGGGCUGCUCCUAGUACGAGAGGACCGGAGUGGACGCAUCACUGGUGUUCGGGUUGUCAUGCCAAUGGCACUGCCCGGUAGCUAAAUGCGGAAGAGAUAAGUGCUGAAAGCAUCUAAGCACGAAACUUGCCCCGAGAUGAGUUCUCCCUGAGACUUUAAGUCUCCUGAAGGAACGUUGAAGACGACGACGUUGAUAGGCCGGGUGUGUAAGCGCAGCGAUGCGUUGAGCUAACCGGUACUAAUGAACCGUGAGGCUUAACCUUACAACGCCGAAG